rnacentral:rRNA from 1 species
UGGGGAAUAUUGCGCAAUGGGGGAAACCCUGACGCAGCGACGCCGCGUGCGGGAUGAAGGCCUUCGGGUUGUAAACCGCUUUUGAUUGGGAGCAAGCCUUUUGGGUGAGUGUACCUUUCGAAUAAGCGCCGGCUAACUACGUGCCAGCAGCCGCGGUAAUACGUAGGGCGCAAGCGUUAUCCGGAAUUAUUGGGCGUAAAGAGUGCGUAGGCGGCAAAUUAAGUCAGAUGUGAAAACUAAGGGCUCAACCCAUAGAUUGCAUCUGAAACUGAUAUGCUUGAGUCAAGGAGAGGAAAGUGGAAUUCCUAGUGUAGCGGUGAAAUGCGUAGAUAUUAGGAGGAAUACCGGUGGCGAAGGCGACUUUCUGGACUUUUACUGACGCUCAGGUACGAAAGCGUGGGGAGCAAACAGG